AGAGCGAACGCUGGCGGCAGGCCUAAUACAUGCAAGUCGAACGGAUCCUUCGGGAUUAGUGGCGGACGGGUGAGUAACACGUGGGAACGUGCCCUUUGGUUCGGAACAACUCAGGGAAACUUGAGCUAAUACCGGAUGUGCCCUUCGGGGGAAAGAUUUAUCGCCAUUGGAGCGGCCCGCGUCUGAUUAGCUAGUUGGUGGGGUAAAGGCCCACCAAGGCGACGAUCAGUAGCUGGUCUGAGAGGAUGAUCAGCCACACUGGGACUGAGACACGGCCCAGACUCCUACGGGAGGCAGCAGUAGGGAAUCUUGCGCAAUGGGCGAAAGCCUGACGCAGCCAUGCCGCGUGAAUGAUGAAGGUCUUAGGAUUGUAAAAUUCUUUCAGCGGGGACGAUAAUGACGGUACCGCAGAAGAAGCCCCGGCUAACUUCGUGCCAGCAGCCGC
rnacentral:rRNA from 1 species